ACGCCAGACUCCUACGGGAGGCAGCAGUGAGGAAUAUUGGUCAAUGGGCGAGAGCCUGAACCAGCCAAGUCGCGUGAGGGAGUACUGCCCUAUGGGUUGUAAACCUCUUUUGUCGGGGAGCAAAAGCCGGACGUGUCCGGCUGUGAGAGUACCCGAAGAAAAAGCAUCGGCUAACUCCGUGCCAGCAGCCGCGGUAAUACGGAGGAUGCGAGCGUUAUCCGGAUUUAUUGGGUUUAAAGGGUGCGCAGGCGGCGUGUCAAGUCAGCGGUAAAAUGUCGGGGCUCAACCCCGGCCGGCCGUUGAAACUGGCGUGCUCGAGUUGGAGAGAAGUAUGCGGAAUUCGUGGUGUAGCGGUGAAAUGCAUAGAUAUCGCGCAGAACCCCGAUUGCGAAGGCAGCGUGCCGUGCCGCCACUGACGCUGAGGCACGAAAGCGCGGGGAUCGAACAGGAUUAGAUACCCGGGUAGAG
rnacentral:rRNA from 1 species